rnacentral:rRNA from 1 species
CGCGGUUAUACAAAUUAUAUAAUUAAAAUAUAUUAGUUAAUAGUUAAAUAUUAAAAAUUUAUUAAAAAUUAUUAUUUUUAGGUAAAAUUUUAAAUAAUAUAUAAAAUAAAUUGAUUUAGAUUGAAAUCUAUGAAAUUUUUAUAAAAAACUAGGAUUAGAUACCCUAUUAUUAAAAAUUUAAAUUUAAAAUACUAAGGUAGUAAUAGUUAUGAUCUUGAAACUUAAAAAAUUUGGCGGUGUUUUAGUCUAUUUAGAGGAACCUGUUCUAUGAUCGAUAAUCCACGAAUGAUUUUACUAAAUUUUAUUUAGCUUAUAUAUCGUCGUUAAAAGAAUAUUUUAUAAGAAAAAAAUUUUCUAAUUUUUAAAUAAAAAUAUAUUUCAGAUCAAGGUGUAGCUUAUAAUUUAGAAGAAAUGGGUUACAAUAAAUAAAUUUAAAUGGAUGAAUUAUUGCAAUUUAAUUUUAAAGGUGGAUUUAAUAGUAAAAUUAUUAAAAUAAUUAAUUUGAUUUUAGCUCUAAAACAUGCACAUAUCGCCCGUCGCUCUUUCAUUAAAGAAAGAUAAGUCGUAACAUAGUAGAUGUACUGGAAAGUGUAUCUAGAAAGAAA